AUCGAACGCUGGCGGCAGGCCUAACACAUGCAAGUCGAACGAGUGGCGGACGGGUGAGUAAUGUCUGGGAAUCUGCCUGAUGGAGGGGGAUAACUACUGGAAACGGUAGACAAUACCGCAUACUAUCAGAUGUGCCCAGAUGGGAUUAGCUAGUUGGUGGGGUAACGGCUCACCAAGGAGACGAUCCCUAGCUGGUGGGAGAGGGUGACCGGCCACACUGGAACUGGGACACGGUCCAGACUCCUACGGGGGGCAGCAGUGGGGAAUAUUGGACAAUGGGCGAAACCCUAAUGCGGACAGCCGGCGUGUAUGAGGAAGGCCUUCGGGUUGUAAAGUACGUUCAUCGGGGAGACGUUACCCAAAGAGGAAGCGCCGGCUAACUCCGUGCCAGCAGCCGCGGUAAUAC
rnacentral:rRNA from 1 species